CCUACGGGUGGCAGCAGUGGGGAAUAUUGCACAAUGGGGGAAACCCUGAUGCAGCAACGCCGCGUGAGUGAAGAAGUAUUUCGGUAUGUAAAGCUCUAUCAGCAGGGAAGAAGAUGACGGUACCUGAGUAAGAAGCCCCGGCUAACUACGUGCCAGCAGCCGCGGUAAUACGUAGGGGGCAAGCGUUAUCCGGAUUUACUGGGUGUAAAGGGAGCGUAGACGGCUGCGCAAGUCUGAAGUGAAAGCCCGGGGCUCAACCCCGGGACUGCUUUGGAAACUGUGCAGCUAGAGUGCAGGAGAGGUAAGCGGAAUUCCUAGUGUAGCGGUGAAAUGCGUAGAUAUUAGGAGGAACACCAGUGGCGAAGGCGGCUUACUGGACUGUAACUGACGUUGAGGCUCGAAAGCGUGGGGAGCAAACAGGAUUAGAUACCCGGGUAGUC
rnacentral:rRNA from 1 species